ensembl:lncRNA
GUGGGGUAAUACUAUGAGGUGUUGGGUCCUGUGGGGUAAUACUAUGAGGUGGGGUAAUACUAUGAGGUGUUGGGUCGUGUGGGGUAAUACUAUGAGGUGUUGGGUCCUGUGGGGUAAUACUAUGAGGUGUUGGGUCCUGUGAGGUAAUACUAUGAGGUGUUGGGUCCUGUGGGGUAAUACUAUGAGGUGGGGUAAUAUUAUGAGGUGUUGGGUCCUGUGGGGUAAUACUAUGAGGUGUUGGGUCCUGUGAGGGUAAUACUAUGAGGUGUUGGUCCUGUGGGGUAAUACUAUGAGGUGUUGGUCCUGUGGGGUAAUACUAUGAGGUGUUGGGUCCUGUGGGGUAAUACUAUGAGGUGUUGGGUCCUGUGAGGUAAUACUAUGAGGUGGGGUAAUACUAUGAGGUGUUGGGUCCUGUGGGGUAAUACUAUGAGGUGUUGGUCCUGUGGGGUAAUACUAUGAGGUGUUGGUCCUGUGGGGUAAUACUAUGAGGUGUUGGUCCUGUGGGGUAAUACUAUGAGGUGUUGGGUCCUGUGGGGUAAUACUAUGAGGUGUUGGGUCCUGUGGGGUAAUACUAUGAGGUGUUGGGUCCUGUGGGGUAAUACUAUGAGGUGUUGGUCCUGUGGGGUAAUACUAUGAGGUGUUGGGUCCUGUGAGGUAAUACUAUGAGGUGUUGGGUCCUGUGGGGUAAUACUAUGAGGUGGGGUAAUACUAUG